rnacentral:rRNA from 1 species
AGCGAACGCUGGCGGCAGGCCUAACACAUGCAAGUCGAGCGCCCCGCAAGGGGAGCGGCAGACGGGAGAGUAACACGUGGGAACGUACCCUUCAGUUCGGAACAACCCAGGGAAACUUGGGCUAAUACCGGAUACGUCCGUAAGGAGAAAGAUUUAUCGCUGAAGGAUCGGCCCGCGUCUGAUUAGCUAGUUAGUGGGGUAACGGCCCACCAAGGCGACGAUCAGUAGCUGGGCUGAGAGGAUGAUCAGCCUCACUGGGACUGAGACACGGCCCAGACUCCUACGGGAGGCAGCAGUGGGGAAUAUUGGACAAUGGGCGCAAGCCUGAUCCAGCCAUGCCGCGUGGAUGAUGAAGGCCCUAGGGUUGUAAAGUCCUUUCGGCGGGGAAGAUAAUGACGGUACCCGCAGAAGAAGCCCCGGCUAACUUCGUGCCAGCAGCCGCCGUAAUAC